rnacentral:rRNA from 1 species
UACGGGGGGGGCAAGCGUUGUUCGGAAUUACUGGGCGUAAAGGGCGCGUAGGCGGGUUUCCAAGUCGGGGGUGAAAUUCCAGGGCUCAACCCUGGGACGGCCUUCGAUACUGGGAGCCUGGAGAUCGGGAGAGGUGAGUGGAAUUCCGAGUGUAGAGGUGAAAUUCGUAGAUAUUCGGAGGAACACCAGAAGCGAAGGCGGCUCACUGGCCCGAGACUGACGCUGAGGCGCGAAAGCGUGGGGAGCAAACAGG